rnacentral:tRNA from 1 species
GUGCCCGUAGCUCAAUGGAUAGAGUACUGCCCUCCGAAGGCAGGGGUUGCUGGUUCGAUCCCAGCCGGGCGCGCC